AUUGAACGCUGGCGGCGGGCCUAACACAUGCCAGUCGAGCGGAUGAAGGGAGCUUGCUCCUGGAUUCAGCGGCGGACGGGUGAGUAAUGCCUAGGAAUCUGCCUGGUAGUGGGGGAUAACGUCCGGAAACGGGCGCUAAUACCGCAUACGUCCUGAGGGAGAAAGUGGGGGAUCUUCGGACCUCACGCUAUCAGAUGAGCCUAGGUCGGAUUAGCUAGUUGGUGGGGUAAAGGCCUACCAAGGCGACGAUCCGUAACUGGUCUGAGAGGAUGAUCAGUCACACUGGAACUGAGACACGGUCCAGACUCCUACGGGAGGCAGCAGUGGGGAAUAUUGGACAAUGGGCGAAAGCCUGAUCCAGCCAUGCCGCGUGUGUGAAGAAGGUCUUCGGAUUGUAAAGCACUUUAAGUUGGGAGGAAGGGCAGUAAGUUAAUACCUUGCUGUUUUGACGUUACCAACAGAAUAAGCACCGGCUAACUUCGUG
rnacentral:rRNA from 1 species